rnacentral:tRNA from 1 species
GGGGAUUUAGCUCAGUGGUAGAGCGCUUGCCUAGGAAGCGCAAGGCCCUGGGUUCGGUCCCCGGCCCCG